rnacentral:lncRNA from 1 species
GUGGGGCAGUGUCACUCCUCCCUCUGCACUGCUGAGCCAGGCAGGGCCUGGUGGCACACCAAAAUGUCCAGGCAGAUGUUGCACCCAUGUGAGUCAUGGCACCUGGCACUUGUACCCUCUGCAUGAAGCAGCACAGGCAGGAAUGCCUCCUCCACUGUCACACACAAAUACCCUGCAUUAACAGCACCUUCUUCUAUUUUAUUUCAUCACAGUGCUUCUCAGAGUAUUUUCUGUUUGGUUUUGUUUUAAUUGAUUUAAAAUGCAGAAAAGGGAAAGUAAAGUAGAUUUUUGAUCAGCAACAGUCCAGAUGAAGCAAGUUUUCAAAAAAAAAAUCCAUUUAAAUAACCAAGCUGUGGCUUGCUGUUCAGAAUGAAACCAAAUAUAUAAAAUAUAUAAUUACUGUCAUAUGUAACUGGUUUUUGUAACUUGAAUAAAAUCAAAGACAAAAUAAAAUGCUUACUUGCAUUGUUUUUUUCCAGUUGACUGCCCAGAAGCCUGUAGUGCUUGAAGAGGAUGUAAACACAAGAGCUGGAUGGGAACUUUUCAAUUAAAUGUUUUGCACCAGAAAAUGCUGUUUCAUUGAAACCAAAACUAUUCAAGGAAAUAUAACAGUAGUUGAAACUUUUGUUAGCAACAUCUUGGGGUUCAGAGUUACAUUUCUGAUCAAAUGGAGAAAGAGACAAACAGACUGAUAAUCUCAAUGCACAGGACUGAGCAUUACCUGAGUUUGAUUCCUCUCACCAGGCAUCUUCCUGAGAAACAGACAAACACUGAAUCAAACAGAAGGAAAAAAAAAGCGUACAACUUCUCCAUGGCCCUGAGAACAAAUGAUAGAAAUCCCCAGUUCCUGCUGGAGGUGCAGUGUAGGAGCCCAGAGCGCCGAGAAUAUUAAUCUGCCUGUCUUUAAGGGUGGGAAGGAUUCGAGCGGGGUUUGAAAAUCUCCCACUGCUUUUACGGGUGUCAGCAAAG